UACGUAGGGCGCAAGCGUUGUCCGGAAUUAUUGGGCGUAAAGAGCUCGUAGGCGGCUUGUCACGUCGGGUGUGAAAGCCCCGGGGCUUAACCCCGGGUCUGCAUUCGAUACGGGCUAGCUAGAGUGUGGUAGGGGAGAUCGGAAUUCCUGGUGUAGCGGUGAAAUGCGCAGAUAUCAGGAGGAACACCGGUGGCGAAGGCGGGUCUCUGGGCCGAUACUGACGCUGAGGAGCGAAAGCGUGGGGAGCGAACAGG
rnacentral:rRNA from 1 species